CCUACGGGAGGCAGCAGUGGGGAAUAUUGGACAAUGGGGGCAACCCUGAUCCAGCCAUGCCGCGUGUGUGAAGAAGGCCCUCGGGUUGUAAAGCACUUUCAGUGAGGAAGAACGCCUGGUGGUUAAUACCCAUCAGGAAAGACAUCACUCACAGAAGAAGCACCGGCUAACUCCGUGCCAGCAGCCGCGGUAAUACGGAGGGUGCGAGCGUUAAUCGGAAUUACUGGGCGUAAAGCGCGCGUAGGUGGCUUGAUAAGCCGGUUGUGAAAGCCCCGGGCUCAACCUGGGAACGGCAUCCGGAACUGUCAAGCUAGAGUGCAGGAGAGGAAGGUAGAAUUCCCGGUGUAGCGGUGAAAUGCGUAGAGAUCGGGAGGAAUACCAGUGGCGAAAGCGGCCUUCUGGACUGACACUGACACUGAGGUGCGAAAGCGUGGGUAGCAAACAGGAUUAGAUACCCUUGUAGUC
rnacentral:rRNA from 1 species